rnacentral:rRNA from 1 species
GGGUUGUGAGGUUAAGCGACUAAGCGUACACGGUGGAUGCCCUGGCAGUCAGAGGCGAUGAAGGACGUGCUAAUCUGCGAUAAGCGCCGGUAAGGUGAUAUGAACCGUUAUAACCGGCGAUUUCCGAAUGGGGAAACCCAGUGUGACUCGUCACACUAUCAUUAACUGAAUCCAUAGGUUAAUGAGGCGAACCGGGGGAACUGAAACAUCUAAGUACCCCGAGGAAAAGAAAUCAACCGAGAUUCCCCCAGUAGCGGCGAGCGAACGGGGAGGAGCCCAGAGCCUGAAUCAGCAUGUGUGUUAGUGGAAGCGUCUGGAAAGGCGCGCGAUACAGGGUGACAGCCCCGUACACAAAAGCGCAUGUGCUGUGAGCUCGAUGAGUAGGGCGGGACACGUGGUAUCCUGUCUGAAUAUGGGGGGACCAUCCUCCAAGGCUAAAUACUCCUGACUGACCGAUAGUGAACCAGUACCGUGAGGGAAAGGCGAAAAGAACCCCGGCGAGGGGAGUGAAAAAGAACCUGAAACCGUGUACGUACAAGCAGUGGGAGCACAGGUUUACCUGUGUGACUGCGUACCUUUUGUAUAAUGGGUCAGCGACUUAUAUUCUGUAGCAAGGUUAACCGAAUAGGGGAGCCGGAGGGAAACCGAGUCUUAAUUGGGCGUUAAGUUGCAGGGUAUAGACCCGAAACCCGGUGAUCUAGCCAUGGGCAGGU